UACGGAGGGGGCUAGCGUUGUUCGGAAUUAUUGGGCGUAAAGAGCUCGUAGGCGGUUUGUCGCGUCUGCUGUGAAAACCCGGGGCUCAACCCCGGGCCUGCAGCCGAUACGGGCAGACUAGAGUUCGGCAGGGGAGACUGGAAUUCCUGGUGUAGCGGUGAAAUGCGCAGAUAUCAGGAGGAACACCGGUGGCGAAGGCGGGUCUCUGGGCCGAUACUGACGCUGAGGAGCGAAAGCGUGGGGAGCGAACAGG
rnacentral:rRNA from 1 species